rnacentral:rRNA from 1 species
CCCUUAGAUGUUCUGGGCCGCACGCGCGCUACACUGACGAAUGCAACGAGCUUAUAACCUUGGCCGAAAGGUCUGGGUAAUCUCCAAAUUUCGUCGUGAUGGGGAUAGAUUAUUGCAAUUAUUAAUCUUCAACGAGGAAUGCCUAGUAAACGCAAGUCAUCAGCUUGCAUUGAUUACGUCCCUGCCCUUUGUACACACCGCCCGUCGCUCCUACCGAUUGAAUGAUCCGAUGAAUAUCAUGGAUUGAGGAUGCAAGUAGGUUCGCCUAUCUUCAUCUUCGAGAAGUGAAGUAAAUCUUAUCAUUUAGAGGAAGGAGAAGUCGUAACA